CUAGUUGGUGAGGUAAUGGCUCACCAAGGCUCCGAUCGGUAGCUGUUCUGAGAGGAAGAUCAGCCACACUGGGACUGAGACACGGCCCUGACUCCUACGGGAGGCAGCAGUUGGGAAUCUUGGACAAUGGGGGAAACCCUGAUCCAGCCAUGCCGCGUGAGUGAUGAAGGCCUUCGGGUUGUAAAACUCUUUCGACGGGGACGAUAAUGACGGUACCCGUAGAAGAAGCUCCGGCUAACUUCGUGCCAGCAGCCGCGGUAAUACGAAGGGGGCUAGCGUUGUUCGGAAUUACUGGGCGUAAAGCGCGCGCAGGUGGUCUUUCAAGUCAGUGGUGAAAGCCCGGAGCUCAACUCCGGAAAUGCCAUUGAAACUGUGAGACUUGAGGACGAGAGAGGUGAGUGGAAUUCCCAGUGUAGAGGUGAAAUUCGUAGAUAUUGGGAAGAACACCGGUGGCGAAGGCGGCUCACUGGCUCGUAUCUGACGCUCAGGCGCGACAGCGUGGGGAUCAAACAGGAUUAGAUGCCCUGGUAGUCCACGCCGUAAACGAUGAAUGCUAGCCGUUGGGCAGCUUGCUGUUCAGUGGCGCAGCUAACGCAUUAAGCAUUCCGCCUGGGGAGUACGGCCGCAAGGUUGAAACUCAAAGGAAUUGCG
rnacentral:rRNA from 1 species